CCCUUAGAUGUUCUGGGCCGCACACGCGCUACACUGAAGGAGGCAGCGUGUACUCCUGGAUCGAAAGAUUUGGGUAACCCGCGAGUCUCCUUCGUGCUAGGGAUUGAGGUUUGCAAUUAUCCUUCAUGAACGAGGAAUUCCCAGUAAGUGCAAGUCAUAAGCUUGCGCUGACUACGUCCCUGCCCUUUGUACACACCGCCCGUCGCUACUACCGAUUGAAUGAUUUAGUGAGGACUUCGGACUGGGACCGAUGCGGCUUUCGGGCUGCGUCGGUAUUCUGGAAAGAUGUCCAAACUGUAUCAUUUAGAGGAAGUAAAAGUCGUAACA
rnacentral:rRNA from 1 species